rnacentral:misc_RNA from 1 species
GAUGAAGAACGUAGCGAAAUGCGAUAAGUAAUGUGAAUUGCAGAAUUCAGUGAAUCAUCGAAUCUUUGAACGCACAUUGCGACCCCUGGUAUUCCGGGGGGCAUGCCUGUUCGAGCGUCAUUUCACCACUCAAGCCUCGCUUGGUAUUGGGCAACGCGGUCCGCCGCGUGCCUCAAAUCGACCGGCUGGGUCUUCUGUCCCCUAAGCGUUGUGGAAACUAUUCGCUAAAGGGUGUUCGGGAGGCUACGCCGUAAAACAACCCCAUUUCUAAGGUUGACCUCGGAUCAGGUAGGGAUACCCGCUGAACUUAAGCAUAUCAAUAAGCGGAGGA